UGGAAGUUGCACUCCCAGAUGAUGACGACGAUUUAUAACUUUUUAAAACGGACAAAAUUUCUGCCUUCCCAUGAUAUUUAUUCAAAUUCAUCAAUGGAUACGUGACUUUUUGAUUAUAGAAUAUUUUGUCUUUAAAACACCUGCAUAAUUACUAUACCUCUUGCUUGAACUGCUCAUACUGACAUAGUUAUGAACCAUAGACAAGCCGGGAAAGCAGAUAAUUAUUCUCCCAAAAAGUGAAACAAUUUGCCAGUGUACAUCAUAAGUGGGUUUAUUUUCUUUUAGAGCUCUUAUUUUACAAGAGACGAUGGACACAUUCACAAACAUUCGAAAAAGAGACUUUGAAUAUUGAAAACUUGAUAUUUUAUUUAAAAAAUCAUUUUUUGUUAUAUGACAGAUAUGUUUGUAUUUGUGUCAUCUGUAAACAAAUAAAUUGUUAAAAUUAAC
rnacentral:misc_RNA from 1 species